rnacentral:rRNA from 1 species
UACGGGGGGAGCAAGCGUUGUUCGGAUUUACUGGGCGUAAAGGGCGCGUAGGCGGCCUCCGCAAGUCAGUUUUGAAAUCUCCGAGCUUAACUCGGAAAGGUCAACUGAUACUGCGGGGCUAGAGUGCGGAAGGGGCAACUGGAAUUCUUGGUGUAGCGGUGAAAUGCGUAGAUAUCAAGAGGAACACCUGCGGCGAAGGCGGGUUGCUGGGCUGACACUGACGCUGACAGCGCGAAAGCUAGGGGAGCGAACGGG